AGAAGCUGCAUUGGUGACAAGAGCCGCCUGAGAACCAGCCAAUGGGAGCUGGUGAGGGCGGUGCCUGUGGGCAAGAACCGCACGGAGUCGCUUGCGCGCCUCCGCCUAGGAGCCGGACCUGCUGCUUGAAGCCUGCCAUUGCACCCCCGCUGAGCUGCUGACUGGGAGCCACCUGAGAUUUCUGAAGCCAGUCAGCCGAGGACCG